ACGUCUCAGACGACAACGUGAUUGCGACGUCACUGGGAAAGUUCACAACUAAGGACCCUGAUACCACGUGUUCUGUGACGUUACCUGUGACAACCGUUUAUGAGAUCAGAAAAGUGGCGUCACCGACCGAUCCCCAGAAACCGGCCGCCGGUUUUCACCGCACUGCCUGCGACCGGAACUAACAUUUUCGACGGUCUUAAGCACGCCACCGAGACCCUUCACACGUUCAGCGUCACCGAUAGCGACGACGCCGUUAACUGCUCUGCAAGAGUGCCGGAAAACGCCCUUUUGAAGUGAUCGCCGGUGUCGCAUCAAGGUUUACAAUUAACGUAAAGGCGGGGGUAACGCUAAGAGCAGCGAACGGACCUUACGUCAUCAACGUCGACUGCUCAGAUGGCGACAAUGACGUCACUGCGACGUUCACACAACCAGUGAUUGAUACGCCGCCGAGUUUUGUAUCCGGGAUCCCCGGAAGUUCCCCUAACGUCUCUGACUCCACUGUCACACAGAUGUUACUCGGGAAGUUUACAACUACCGACCCGGAUACGGCGUGUUCUGUGACGUCACCAUCCACCACCGUGUAUGACAUCAGAAAUGUGACGUCACCGGUGAAUGUUUCUCAACCAGAAUUUGAAGUCAGGAUCUCUAGCACCGUGACUGAAGCUGCCAUCGACUUCAACGGCCAGGCCGUGCCGUUGACGUUAACGAAAAGGUGUACUGACGGCAACCCCGUCAACGUCAUCACCGGGACUUUCAACGUCAAUAUCGUU